AUUGAACGCUGGCGGCAGGCCUAACACAUGCAAGUCGAGCGGAUGAAGGGAGCUUGCUCCUGGAUUCAGCGGCGGACGGGUGAGUAAUGCCUAGGAAUCUGCCUGGUAGUGGGGGAUAACGUCCGGAAACGGGCGCUAAUACCGCAUACGUCCUGAGGGAGAAAGUGGGGGAUCUUCGGACCUCACGCUAUCAGAUGAGCCUAGGUCGGAAUAGCUAGAUGGUGGGGUAAAGGCCUACCAAGGCGACGAUCCGUAACUGGUCUGAGAGGAUGAUCAGUCACACUGGAACUGAGACACGGUCCAGACUCCUACGGGAGGCAGCAGUGGGGAAUAUUGGACAAUGGGCGAAAGCCUGAUCCAGCCAUGCCGCGUGUGUGAAGAAGGUCUUCGGAUUGUAAAGCACUUUAAGUUGGGAGGAAGGGCAGUAAGUUAAUACCUUGCUGUUUUGACGUUACCAACGGAAUAAGCACCGGCUAACUUCGUG
rnacentral:rRNA from 1 species